rnacentral:rRNA from 1 species
UACAGAGGGGGCAAGCGUUGUUCGGAAUUACUGGGCGUAAAGGGCGCGUAGGCGGCCCGCUAAGUCGAACGUGAAAUCCCCAGGCUCAACCUCGGAACUGCCUCUGAUACAGCAAGUCUUGAGUCCGGAAGAGGUGGGUGGAAUUCCUAGUGUAGAGGUGAAAUUCGUAGAUAUUAGGAAGAACACCAGUGGCGAAGGCGGCCCACU